UUAAGCGACUAAGCGUACACGGUGGAUGCCCUGGCAGUCAGAGGCGAUGAAGGACGUGCUAAUCUGCGAAAAGCGUCGGUAAGGUGAUAUGAACCGUUAUAACCGGCGAUGUCCGAAUGGGGAAACCCAGUGCAAUUCGUUGCACUAUCGUUAACUGAAUACAUAGGUUAACGAGGCGAACCGGGGGAACUGAAACAUCUAAGUACCCCGAGGAAAAGAAAUCAACCGAGAUUCCCCCAGUAGCGGCGAGCGAACGGGGAGCAGCCCAGAGUCUGAAUCAGCUUGUGUGUUAGUGGAACGGUCUGGAAAGUCCGACGGUACAGGGUGAUAGUCCCGUACACCAAAAUGCACAGGUUGUGAACUCGAAGAGUAGGGCGGGACACGUGGUAUCCUGUCUGAAUAUGGGGGGACCAUCCUCCAAGGCUAAAUACUCCUGACUGACCGAUAGUGAACCAGUACCGUGAGGGAAAGGCGAAAAGAACCCCGGCGAGGGGAGUGAAAAAGAACCUGAAACCGUGUACGUACAAGCAGUGGGAGCACCUUCGGGUGUGACUGCGUACCUUUUGUAUAAUGGGUCAGCGACUUAUAUUCUGUAGCAAGGUUAACCGUAUAGGGGAGCCGCAGGGAAACCGAGUCUUAACUGGGCGUUAAGUUGCAGGGUAUAGACCCGAAACCCGGUGAUCUAGCCAUGGGCAGGUUGAAGGUUGGGUAACACUAACUGGAGGACCGAACCGACUAAUGUUGAAAAAUUAGCGGAUGACUUGUGGCUGGGGGUGAAAGGCCAAUCAAACCGGGAGAUAGCUGGUUCUCCCCGAAAGCUAUUUAGGUAGCGCCUCGUGAAUUCAUCUUCGGGGGUAGAGCACUGUUUCGGCUAGGGGGUCAUCCCGACUUACCAACCCGAUGCAAACUACGAAUACCGAAGAAUGUUAUCACGGGAGACACACGGCGGGUGCUAACGUCCGUCGUGAAGAGGGAAACAACCCAGACCGCCAGCUAAGGUCCCAAAGUCAUGGUUAAGUGGGAAACGAUGUGGGAAGGCACAGACAGCCAGGAUGUUGGCUUAGAAGCAGCCAUCAUUUAAAGAAAGCGUAAUAGCUCACUGGUCGAGUCGGCCUGCGCGGAAGAUGUAACGGGGCUAAACCAUGCACCGAAGCUGCGGCAGCGACACUAUGUGUUGUUGGGUAGGGGAGCGUUCUGUAAGCCUGCGAAGGUGACCUGUGAGGGUUGCUGGAGGUAUCAGAAGUGCGAAUGCUGACAUAAGUAACGAUAAAGCGGGUGAAAAGCCCGCUCGCCGGAAGACCAAGGGUUCCUGUCCAACGUUAAUCGGGGCAGGGUGAGUCGACCCCUAAGGCGAGGCCGAAAGGCGUAGUCGAUGGGAAACAGGUUAAUAUUCCUGUACUUGGUGUUACUGCGAAGGGGGGACGGAGAAGGCUAUGUUAGCCGGGCGACGGUUGUCCCGGUUUAAGCAUGUAGGCUGGUUGUCCAGGCAAAUCCGGAUAAUCAAGGCUGAGGUGUGAUGACGAGGCACUACGGUGCUGAAGUAACAAAUGCCCUGCUUCCAGGAAAAGCCUCUAAGCAUCAGGUAACAUUAAAUCGUACCCCAAACCGACACAGGUGGUCAGGUAGAGAAUACCAAGGCGCUUGAGAGAACUCGGGUGAAGGAACUAGGCAAAAUGGUGCCGUAACUUCGGGAGAAGGCACGCUGGUGUGUAGGUGAAGCCCCUGCGGGUGGAGCUGAGACCAGUCGAAGAUACCAGCUGGCUGCAACUGUUUAUUAAAAACACAGCACUGUGCAAACACGAAAGUGGACGUAUACGGUGUGACGCCUGCCCGGUGCCGGAAGGUUAAUUGAUGGGGUUAUCCGUAAGGAGAAGCUCUUGAUCGAAGCCCCGGUAAACGGCGGCCGUAACUAUAACGGUCCUAAGGUAGCGAAAUUCCUUGUCGGGUAAGUUCCGACCUGCACGAAUGGCGUAAUGAUGGCCAGGCUGUCUCCACCCGAGACUCAGUGAAAUUGAACUCGCUGUGAAGAUGCAGUGUACCCGCGGCAAGACGGAAAGACCCCGUGAACCUUUACUAUAGCUUGACACUGAACAUUGAGCCUUGAUGUGUAGGAUAGGUGGGAGGCUUUGAAGCGUGGACGCCAGUCUGCGUGGAGCCAACCUUGAAAUACCACCCUUUAAUGUUUGAUGUUCUAACGUUGGCCCCUGACCGGGGUUGCGGACAGUGUCUGGUGGGUAGUUUGACUGGGGCGGUCUCCUCCCAAAGCGUAACGGAGGAGCACGAAGGUUAGCUAAUCCUGGUCGGACAUCAGGAGGUUAGUGCAAUGGCAUAAGCUAGCUUGACUGCGAGCGUGACGGCGCGAGCAGGUGCGAAAGCAGGUCAUAGUGAUCCGGUGGUUCUGAAUGGAAGGGCCAUCGCUCAACGGAUAAAAGGUACUCCGGGGAUAACAGGCUGAUACCGCCCAAGAGUUCAUAUCGACGGCGGUGUUUGGCACCUCGAUGUCGGCUCAUCACAUCCUGGGGCUGAAGUAGGUCCCAAGGGUAUGGCUGUUCGCCAUUUAAAGUGGUACGCGAGCUGGGUUUAGAACGUCGUGAGACAGUUCGGUCCCUAUCUGCCGUGGGCGCUGGAGAAUUGAGGGGGGCUGCUCCUAGUACGAGAGGACCGGAGUGGACGCAUCACUGGUGUUCGGGUUGUCAUGCCAAUGGCACUGCCCGGUAGCUAAAUGCGGAAGAGAUAAGUGCUGAAAGCAUCUAAGCACGAAACUUGCCCCGAGAUGAGUUCUCCCUGAGACUUUAAGUCUCCUGAAGGAACGUUGAAGACGACGACGUUGAUAGGCCGGGUGUGUAAGCGCAGCGAUGCGUUGAGCUAACCGGUACUAAUGAACCGUGAGGCUUAACCU
rnacentral:rRNA from 1 species